GAAUUUUAUAUAAUUAUAUUUUGGCUUUUUUUGACAUUUGUUCUCUCUCAUUAGGCACCAGUUUGAUUAAAUUUAAAAAAUGUUCAUGUUUACUUGCUGUGACAUUCACUUUAUUGUAGUUUUAUAAAAAUUGUCAUAUUUUUUGAUGUUUGUUAAUUGAGUUAUCUAUGGUUAUUUUUCAUGGACAUUGCCAAACUAUCUAAUAAUUCUACCAUUUGUUAAAUUAGGUAACACUUUUAUCGUGCUUACUGAAAAAUGUGGGAGUUGCCGC
rnacentral:misc_RNA from 1 species